GUGUGUGUGUGUGCGAGCAAUCUGUCGCGAGAUCGUGAUCACGUUCGAGUCGGCGGCGGCUGCGGCGGCGGCGAGCGGAGAAGCUGCAAGUGAAAAUGUAAUGCCUAGGAGGCGCGGCGCAGCGCCACACACGAUCAAGUCCAGACCCGCCCACGGGAGGAGGCGAGGGAACAGGUCCACGUUGUCCAGCCGGGUUUAUUGUCGUCUGUGGUGUUCGCUCAGCGGUACAGAGCAAGCGGCGCGCAAUCUGCACGUUUUAUUGGUGGGCGGGCUGGAAGAUCGUCUCCCUCCUCCCAAGUGGCCACACAAUCCGCUCAGU